GGAGGUUUCAAAAAGUUGGGGGGAUUUUUUGUUUACCAUUUUUUGAAGGGCUUCCUUUUUUUCAAAAUUUUUCAAAUUUCGAAUUUUGAAAAGUUUCAAGAAAUCUCCAAUUGCACAGUAUUGCAUGUAUUGUGCAAUAGAUUUGUUAGAUAUUUGACCACAUUAAUUUUGUGACAAAAACCUAUAUUAUGUCAAAAAUUUGAUCACAAUCCAAAUUCAGACAGAAUCAAGCUUGAAUAUUGUGACCAAAUUUGCCCCAACUGUUCAGGGUUCAACCACUGGGGUCGUAUAAAGCUGCGCCCUGUGGAGCACCUGGCUUUUU
rnacentral:lncRNA from 1 species